GUAGGGAAUCUUCGNGCNANUGGGGGGAACCCUGACCGAGCAACGCCGCGUGAGUGAAGAAGGUUUUCGGAUCGUAAAGCUCUGUUGUUAAGGAAGAACGAGUGUGAGAAUGGAAAGUUCAUACUGUGACGGUACUUAACCAGAAAGGGACGGCUAACUACGUGCCAGCAGCCGCGGUAAUACGUAGGUCCCGAGCGUUGUCCGGAUUUAUUGGGCGUAAAGCGAGCGCAGGCGGUUAGAAAAGUCUGAAGUGAAAGGCAGUGGCUCAACCAUUGUAGGCUUUGGAAACUGUUUAACUUGAGUGCAGAAGGGGAGAGUGGAAUUCCAUGUGUAGCGGUGAAAUGCGUAGAUAUAUGGAGGAACACCGGUGGCGAAAGCGGCUCUCUGGUCUGUCACUGACGCUGAGGCUCGAAAGCGUGGGGAGCGAACAGGAUUAGAUACCCUGGUAGUCCACGCCGUAAACGAUGAGUGCUAGGUGUUGGGUCCUUUCCGGGGCUCAGUGCCGCAGCUAACGCAUUAAGCACUCCGCCUGGGGAGUACGACCGCAAGGUUG
rnacentral:rRNA from 1 species